rnacentral:rRNA from 1 species
AGUCGAGCGCCCCGCAAGGGGAGCGGCAGACGGGUGAGUAACGCGUGGGAAUCUACCCUUGACUACGGAAUAACGCAGGGAAACUUGUGCUAAUACCGUAUGUGUCCUUCGGGAGAAAGAUUUAUCGGUCAAGGAUGAGCCCGCGUUGGAUUAGCUAGUUGGUGGGGUAAAGGCCUACCAAGGCGACGAUCCAUAGCUGGUCUGAGAGGAUGAUCAGCCACAUUGGGACUGAGACACGGCCCAAACUCCUACGGGAGGCAGCAGUGGGGAAUAUUGGACAAUGGGCGCAAGCCUGAUCCAGCCAUGCCGCGUGAGUGAUGAAGGCCCUAGGGUUGUAAAGCUCUUUCACCGGAGAAGAUAAUGACGGUAUCCGGAGAAGAAGCCCCGGCUAACUUCGU